rnacentral:rRNA from 1 species
AUUGAACGCUGGCGGCAUGCCUAAUACAUGCAAGUCGAGCGAGCGGCGGACGGGUGAGUAAUGUAUGGGGACCUGCCGAUUGAGGGGGAUAACCACUGGAAAACGUUACUAAAACCCCAUACUAUCUGAUGUGCCAUAUGGGUGUAGCUAGUAGGUGAGGUAAUGGCUCACCUAGGCGACGAUCCCUAGAUGGUCUGAGAGGAUGAUCAGCCACACUGGGACUGAGACACGGCCCAGACUCCUACGGAGGCAGCAGUGGGGAAUAUUGCACAAUGGGCGCAAGCCUGAUGCAGCCAUGCCGCGUGUAUGAAGAAGGCCCUAGGGUUGUAAAGUACUUUCAGUCGGGAUGCGUUACCGACAGAAGAAGCACCGGCUAACUCCGUGCCAGCAGCCGCGGUAAUUC